AACUUUCUUUUGAUUUUACAGGCUUAUAGACAGAAGGGACUUGCCUUGCCUCAGAUGAGACUUUGGAUUUUUGCCUUCAAGUUAAUGCUGGAAUGCGUUAAGACUCUGGGGGACUGUUGAAAGGGCAUGAUUGUGUUUUGAAUUGUGAGAAAGAAGAGAUCUGGGAA